rnacentral:rRNA from 1 species
UACAGAGGUGGCAAGCGUUGUUCGGAAUUACUGGGCGUAAAGGGCGCGUAGGCGGCCUUCUAAGUCGGACGUGAAAGCCCCAGGCUUAACCUGGGAACGUGCGUCUGAUACUGGAAGGCUUGGAUUCGGGAGAGGGAUGUGGAAUUCCAGGUGUAGCGGUGAAAUGCGUAGAUAUCUGGAGGAACACCGGAGGCGAAAGCGGUCCACUGGGCAACUUCUGACGCUGAGAUGCGAAAGCUAGGGUAGCAAAC